rnacentral:rRNA from 1 species
GAUCCUGGCUCAGAAUCAACGCUGGCGGCGCGCCUAACACAUGCAAGUCGAGCGAGAAAGGGGGGCAACUCCUGAGUACAGCGGCGUACGGGUGAGUAACACGUGGAUGAUCUACCUCUUAGUGGGGAAUAACCCUGGGAAACCGGGGCUAAUACCGCAUAAUCCCGAGAGGGGAAAGCAGCAAUGCGCUGAGAGAGGAGUCCGCGGCCGAUUAGCUAGUUGGUGAGGUAACGGCCCACCAAGGCAAAGAUCGGUAGCCGGCCUGAGAGGGCACACGGCCACACUGGCACUGAAACACGGGCCAGACUCCUACGGGAGGC